rnacentral:sRNA from 13 species
CCACUUUUUAGUUGACACGUUUAGUUUACAAACACUUCAACGUCAGCACAAAGCAGGAGUCUGUCUACCACAUGUUGCCAGUUCUAUAAAGGUUGUUAAGUGGGUGGGCCAUUCUAAUGGCCUUGGGUUAAAUGAUCUGACAAAAGGAUGACACUUUGAUGAAAGAUUAAAAAAUCACAAUGGAAGACUGUCAGAUGUUCACAGAUGUCCACUCCAAAGAAAUACUCUCCACAAUGAACACACUUCGUAAGGCUAACAAACUUUGUGAUGUUGUACUCAGAGUGGAGAAGCAAUGUUUUCCUGCUCAUCGCAUUGUUCUGGCUGCCAGCAGUGAUUAUUUUAAUGCCAUGUUUACAAAUGGGGUGA